rnacentral:rRNA from 1 species
AACGAACGCUGGCGGCAUGCCUAACACAUGCAAGUCGAACGAGACCUUCGGGUCUAGUGGCGCACGGGUGCGUAACGCGUGGGAACCUGCCCUUAGGUUCGGAAUAACUCCCCGAAAGGGGUGCUAAUACCGGAUAAUGUCUUCGGACCAAAGAUUUAUCGCCUUUGGAUGGGCCCGCGUUGGAUUAGCUAGUUGGUAGGGUAAAAACCUACCAAGGCGACGAUCCAUAGCUGGUCUGAGAGGAUGAUCAGCCACACUGGGACUGAGACACGGCCCAGACUCCUACGGGAGGCAGCAGUGGGGAAUAUUAGACAAUGGGCGAAAGCCUGAUCCAGCAAUGCCGCGUGAGUGAUGAAGGCCUUAGGGUUGUAAAGCUCUUUUACCCGGGAUGAUAAUGACAGUACCGGGAGAAUAAGCUCCGGCUAACUCCGUG